ACGAACGCUGGCGGCAUGCCUAACACAUGCAAGUCGAACGAGACCUUCGGGUCUAGUGGCGCACGGGUGCGUAACGCGUGGGAACCUGCCUUUAGGUUCGGAAUAACUCAGAGAAAUUUGAGCUAAUACCGGAUGAUGUCUUCGGACCAAAGAUUUAUCGCCUUUAGAUGGGCCCGCGUUGGAUUAGCUAGUUGGUGGGGUAAAGGCCCACCAAGGCGACGAUCCAUAGCUGGUCUGAGAGGAUGAUCAGCCACACUGGGACUGAGACACGGCCCAGACUCCUACGGGAGGCAGCAGUGGGGAAUAUUGGACAAUGGGCGAAAGCCUGAUCCAGCAAUGCCGCGUGAGUGAUGAAGGCCUUAGGGUUGUAAAGCUCUUUUACCCGAGAUGAUAAUGACAGUAUCGGGAGAAUAAGCUCCGGCUAACUCCGUG
rnacentral:rRNA from 1 species